UCGAACGGGUGAGUAACGCGUGAAUAACCUGACUCAAAGAGGGGGAGUAACAACGGGAAACUGUUGCUAAUACCGCACGAGACCACAACACCGCAUGAUGAAGGGGUCAAAGAUUUAUCGCUUUGAGAGGGGUUCGCGUCCCAUUAGGUAGUUGGAGGGGUAACGGCCCACCAAGCCAACGAUGGGUAGCCGAGCUGAGAGGCUGAUCGGCCACACUGGAACUGAGACACGGUCCAG
rnacentral:rRNA from 1 species